GGGUUCGGAAUAAUUUCCGAAGGGUUAACUGGAUGGUCGGGCCGCCAUUCG
rnacentral:ncRNA from 1 species